AGAGAGGUUGAGGUUGAGGUUGAGAGGGGAUACAGAGGUAGAGAGGGGAGACAGAGGUAGAGGUAGAGAGGGGAUACAGAGGUAGAGAGGGGAUACAGAGGUAGAGAGGGGAGACAGAGGUAGAGGUAGAGAGGGGAUACAGAGGUAGAGAGGGGAGACAGAGGUAGAGGUAGAGAGGGGAUACAGAGGUAGAGAGGGGAGACAGAGGUAGAGGUAGAGAGGGGAUACAGAGGUAGAGAGGGGAUACAGAGGUAGAGAGGGGAGACAGAGGUAGAGGUAGAGAGGGGAUACAGAGGUAGAGAGGGGAUACAGAGGUAGAGAGGGGAGACAGAGGUAGAGGUAGAGAGGGGAUACAGAGGUAGAGAGGGGAGACAGAGGUAGAGGUAGAGAGGGGAUACAGAGGUAGAGAGGGGAUACAGAGGUAGAGGUAGAGAGGGGAUACAGAGGUAGAGGUAGAGAGGGGAUACAGAGGUAGAUGUUGCGGCCCAAAGGUGAACGGAAAAUGAAUACCCAUGACGGUCUCCUGUUGUGGGAAACUCUUGUGGCCUUCUCGUGUCAAAAUUACUCAUUAUAAUGUCUGACGAGUUGGUGUUGCCCGAAAGUGUAUUGAGAUCCCUGCUGUGCGAGUUUAUAAAAGAGCAUAGACGCCAGAAAAAGGCUUAAGGCAACCCAAAAAUUAGCAGAACGAUCGCGUUUGGUGGAUGGCAAACGAUUAUAUUUCUUCCUUCUUUUGUUUCUUUUUUAGGAGCAGCGAGUAGCGGGCUUUUUUGUUAUUAUUGUUUUCUUUUUGUGUGUGCCCUUGAGCUGCCUCCUUUGUUGUAUAAAAAACAAAAAAACAAAAAC